rnacentral:lncRNA from 1 species
AAAGCCAAAUUUUGAAGACAAUCAUGUGAACAAAGCAAACUGAUCAUGCCACUCUAAUAAUUAAAACCAUGCGUGAGUGAGAUGAAAUGGAAGCUUUGAUUGUGAUGAUAAAUGGGAGGUGCACGCUUUGGAGGAGGUAUUGAUGAUAAGGGCAUUAGGAUGGGGCAGUUAUGAUACCUCUACUGAGGCCCAGGGCAUUUAGAAGAGGACACACAGACCAAUCUCAUGUGAUGUGUCUCUCAUGUGAUGGG